UAGGGAAUCUUCGGCAAUGGACGAAAGUCUGACCGAGCAACGCCGCGUGAGUGAAGAAGGUUUUCGGAUCGUAAAACUCUGUUGUUAGAGAAGAACAAGGACGUUAGUAACUGAACGUCCCCUGACGGUAUCUAACCAGAAAGCCACGGCUAACUACGUGCCAGCAGCCGCGGUAAUACGUAGGUGGCAAGCGUUGUCCGGAUUUAUUGGGCGUAAAGCGAGCGCAGGCGGUUUCUUAAGUCUGAUGUGAAAGCCCCCGGCUCAACCGGGGAGGGUCAUUGGAAACUGGGAGACUUGAGGGCAGAAGAGGAGAGUGGAAUUCCAUGUGUAGCGGUGAAAUGCGUAGAUAUAUGGGGGAACACCAGUGGCGAAGGCGGCUCUCUGGUCUGUAACUGACGCUGAGGCGCGAAAGCGUGGGGAGCAAACAG
rnacentral:rRNA from 1 species